CUUUUUGAUGCACGGUGGCUGAUGUUUUUGCUGAGGAAAAAAGAGCAGAGACUAGUGCUUAAAACUCUCAAAGAUCCCACAAUUCCUCUUGCUGGCUCUUAAGGCAACUCCGUAGAAAAAUGACACUUCUGUAUGAGUGAUUUAACAGGCGAAGAUCCUGAGGAUAGCUGGAACCCAUUUCGAUGGCUUUUUCAUUCUGGUGCUGCUCCAGUGGAAGGUCGGUUCGCAGUGGAGAAGCCACGCCCCAUCUUUCAAAGUUACAUUUUGAUUAUUUUGUAUGCCAGUGUGAGUGUGUAUGUGAGAUUACAGGAAGAUUUAUGGGAGUCACCUCCUUUCCAGGGUCUGAAGGACCGAACCUUUUUUUUUUUUUUUUCAGAUAUUCUGGGGUCUUUAGACUUGGUGGCAAACAUUACCUGCUGCCACUGAGCCAUCCUGAGGGCCCCAGCAUGCCUGUCUUGUUCUUCCAAUUGGAACAGUCUCAGAGUUAGGUAGUGCACAAAGCCAUUUAAGAAAAAAAGAUACUGACAGAAAACAGAGAGAGAAAGGGUUAAACAAACAAACAAAAAGAUUAGGGAAUGGAGAGAUGAAGAAGCAAUUACGAGCAUCUUCUGCUCUUUCAGAGAACCCAAGGAGGAGUUCCCAGCGCCCACAUCAGGUGGCUCAGAACCACUGUAUUUAACUCCAGCUCCAGGGCAUUCUCUGCCCUCUUCUCGACUCCACAGCCUCCUCCAUUCACAUGUGCUCAUUCACAUAAAACUUAAAAAAAAUAAGUAAUUUCAAAAAUCCAUCUGGAAGUUGGUGGCACAUGCAACCCCAAGAUCAUGAGUGCUGGAGACAGGAAGAAUGCUCUGAUGUAGAAGCCAGCCUGGGCUACAAUGCAGUCUUGAAAAGAAAAGCAAAAGCAUAUCCCCCAGCUCCAGUGCAAAAGUAUCAUAAGUCAGCAGUUGUUGACUGUGUGUGGUAAAAUUACACCAUUUGCUGAUUAAGAAAUUAAGAAUGAUUGCAGAACUAGAAAGUCCCGCUAGUCAAACACACCCACAAUGAGCAAAACCCUUUGCUUAUCAGUGAUUACGUGGUCAUAGGCCACAGUAUGUGGGGAAAAAAUGUUAACUUUUUUGGCAGUUUAUAAAAAAAAAUUACCAGUUUGUUCAGCAGAUUCAAAAUGAUGCUGCUGUGUUCUGGAUUUAAAAAAAAAAAAGUCCACUCUUGCUCAGGUUGCCUAGGUGUCAUUUGGCUCUCACAAAUAAUAAUAAACUGAUUUUGUCUCAAUUAUCUUGCUGCUCCAGGUUACAGUGUGUUUAUAGCCUGGAGUACUUGUAUAAUUAGUUCAAAAUGCCACUGUGUUUUGUGUGUAGAGAUGAAGCAAUAAAAUAUGCCAAGAGGAGACAGAUGAAAUAAAAUGGAUUCAUGGGGGCAGUGGGAAAACGUAGCUUAGGUUGUACAUUUCUUUUUAUGAGAAGCAGCCUACUGCAGUCCCAGCUGGGCACUCACAAAACAUUAGGCAUAAAUGAACAGGAGGGGUGCGACCUGCCAGCCAGCUCCUCUCUGUCACAUGUCCAGAACUGUGCCACUGGCCAGGAGCAUGCGUUGGGCAGCCUGUCAGUAACAACAAUACCAUCUGUCUGUUAAAGAAAACAGGAGUAGUGAUGCCUUUGCCAAAGACAAAUGAGCCCCCUAGCAUGCACACACACUUCCUUAAGUUUCCAUCUUAUCCAUGAUUCAUAUGCCAGAGCCUUCCUGGAAUGCUUGAAAGUAAAAAAAAAAAAAAAAAAAAAAAAAAAAAAAAAAAAGGCUGCCUCUUGACAUGGGGAGUGCACAUCAAAUCACAACACUGGGCUUAUGUUGUUAAAUUUAGAAAGAAAAAAAUCUGAGUAGGGGAUGAAAGAGUAUUUCCAUUUUCUCUGUCUUCUACCUCCGCAUGCAUCACAGGUUUUUCAGGAAAAAUAAUGGCAUGUGAUCAUCAAAACAGAACUCUUACAAGACUGACAGUGGACAUUGUUUAGAAGCUGCCGUACAUGAACUGGUGAGAUCUCAAUGGGUAAACCCACUUGCUGUGCUGAGCCCCAAUGACUAGAGCUAAAUCCCAGGAGCUACAUAAAAAUGGAAAUAAAGACCCAACUCCACCAAGUUGUCUCUGAUGGCCACAAAUGCACUUGACAGACGAAUGGGCACACAUGAGUCUCCUUUUCAAAUGGCAAUAAUUAGUAAUAAUAAGAAAGUAUCACAAUAAAACACUUGCCAUUUUCUAAUAGUAGCAAAACAUCACUAGGUCUCUGUUUAUGGCAUCUUAGAGCUGAUCAAUAAUAUAAAAAGAAACAAUGCCCUGGCACCUGACUUUCUCCCUAUUUUUAACAAAAGUCACAAUCAGAAAGUUAGCUGUUCCACUGAAAGGAAAGAGGGUCCAUUUUUCUGCCCAUUGCCAUCCAGAAACUCAAGGAAGGUGAUGAAAUCAUCCAGAUGCUUUUGUGAGAGACGGAGCUUCAGGGAUAGACAGGAGAAUGGCAACCAACAAGUAGCAGUACAGUUUGCUAAGUGAAAGGCCAAGAUGUGUAAGACAGAUGUGAAACAGCUAUGUGUAAACAGAUGUGAAACAGGUAGCAAUCAGUCCUGAGUCAGGAACACACAAGCAACAAAGGUUGUCCACACAUAGAAAAUAGAAGAAAAUGCCCUGUCCUGUCUAGGUGGAGAAUACCCUUCACUUGGCCAAGUCCAGUCAGUGUGGUUUGAUUAGUUCUUUGUAAAAAUCCUUUGCACUUUGUCAACUAUAGCUUCACUUAAGAGGACUCGCCUGUAAUAUUUUGGUAUUUUUUUUUAAGUCUUCACUCCUAAGUAUGGCUUCAUUUAUUCUCUACUGCCUGCCUGACCUACAAGCACUUACAAUGAGUUCCUAAGAAAGGAAGCGCCUUAGAAUCCACUCUUCCACCUACAUACUCACCACCUCCUCCAUUUUCUCCCAUCUCUGGAAAAAACAGUGCCAUCCACCCAGCUGCCUGGAUCCACAAUGGGAACAUUGCCCUCGGCUCUCUCUUGAUUAGCUUGCUACCCUUCCACUCUGUUAACAAAAGCACUUGUUUCCAUCUCUAAAAGAUGACCUGAAUAUCUCUCUCUCUCUCUCUCUCUCUCUCUCUCUCUCUCUCUCUCUCUCUCUCUCUCGUAUCCCUUUUACAGUAACCAAACAAAGGUCCAUCAUUAUCUCCAGCUAAGACAGUUGCAGUAACUAACUGCCCUUGCCUUCCUUUUACAGAUCAUUUUCUAUUGAGCAUAAUGAUAGUUCAAAUACAUAAAUUAAAUGAUUGUGUAUCCCCUCCUAAAACCAUGCAAGGUUUCUGCAGUCGCCAAAGGACCCAGGACAACCUACAAGGUCCUCCAAGAUUUUUUCCAGCUCUGUCUCUGUGACCUCUUCUUGUUCUAGUAUUCCCACUUGGCUAGUACAGUACCAGUUGUUACAGUGUCACCAACGUGGACUCUGUGCUGUUCACCAUGCUAGACAGUAACUGCAAAGGGAUGUGAAACACUCAACCCACGGCUACCACAGAGGAGCAGAGAGGCUUUAAUUAUUUAAAACAUAGAUUUAUUGGCUUGUGGGUCCAGUCAUGAAGACUGCGUGUUUCAUACUUCAAGCCAUGCUUGUGGUCUUCCAUAGCUGCUAAAGUGAUAGGGACCUUGGGGGUGACACAUUGUCUCAUGCUGGCUUCUUCUGCAUCAUUCCUGGCUUCAGGUGUUUUUUCUUCUUGUUGUUUUGUUUUGUUUUGUUUUUUUGUUUUUUUGAUUUUUGUAUUUUUUUAAGGAAAUGUUGGUUCCCAACAGCCGUGACAAUAAUGUGCCUGACAAAAGCAACUGAGAGGAGGAGGAAUUUGACUCGCAGUUUGUCAUGAUGCAGAAAGUGUGUGUGGAGUGGCCCUAGCUGUGGUGACAGGAGAAUGAGACGACAGCUGGUGAUGUCGAGGCCGUGGUCAUGAAGCUGGGAAAGAGGGAUGCUGAUGCUCAACUAGCUUUUUCCUUUUUUAUUCAGGCUGGGACCCCGGUAUGCUACCACACACACAUGAUGAAUGGGUUUUCCCUCCUCAGUCAAAACCUCCUUGGCAAUAUCCUCACAAGCAUACCAGAGUUAGUCUCCUAGGUGAUCCCAAAUCCAAUCAUGUUGACAGGAAAGAUGACUCUAAGGUUUUCAAAAAGACUUUAUGGUACCCAAUAUGCAUACAGAUUUACAUAUCUAAUAUCACACUGUUCUAUUGUAUUCUUGAUGAUUAUCUCUCUAUAAAAUGGUUUUCUGCUCUCUUGUUUAUUGUUCAUUUGCUCUGGAUUUCCAGAUACCAGACAAGCACAUGUCCUGUGGUCAAAACUCAUUGAAUACUCAACAAGCAAGUGUUUGAUGAAUAAAAAACUCAAUGGAAUUAUGAAAGAAAAAUAAAAUAAAAUAUACCACCACUAUAAUGUUUCAUAUUAAAGACCAACUGGAUAUAUUUACAAAUAAACACACACACACACAUAUAUAUAUAUAUAUAUAUGUGUGUGUGUGUGUGUGUAUGCAUAUGUAUAUCCAACUUAAUUGCUUGCAUGAACAGAUGUCUCUGAGUCUUUCCUUGAAAAUUCUUUUAUGAUGAGUACACUCAUAAGUAAAAUCAUGCAAGCAGCACUUCACAGAGCGCUGCUUUAAAAAAUAUGUAUUGCUAUCUUAAGUUACUCAUCUCUUAGGAAAGUAAACACUAGCCAGAGAUUUUAAAACUUAUAUAUUAAAUGCUUGAUGAAAUGUCCAUAGUCACUUUAUUAUAGGCACAGGAGUGGGGAAUGAAAUAUAAGCAUAUACCUUUAAGUAGCCAAUGAACUAGGAAAUUCAGAAUUAUAUGUCUAAAUAUAAGUGACUAAAAGGUCAUAUUUCACAUUGUUUUCUAUGACACAGUCUCUAAUCACUGUUGUAAGAACAGAAUUAUACUAACAAACAUAACCAUUUUGUUAAGAUUGACUUUACUGGUAUACUUCCAGAGUCAGAGAGAAAACACAGAAUGCUUGCAUCUGGGGAUUCACUGUUGGCACUGGCUUUCCAUGCAGUACUGGUCCUUCUUCUUACAUUACUUACAAUUUACUUACAAUUCCAAACAUUGUAAGUAAUGCCAUUAUGUGUGCAACUAGGGACAAGAUCAAAAGUUAAAGCAGGGAUGUGAGAGUUACUGUAGACCUACAGCCAUGAUGAAUGGAAGCAUCCCAUGACAGGGCCCACCACUGGGCAGGCCAAACCUGUGGACUAAUGUUCUUGUGGAUUGUCUUGUUAAAGAGACACGUGCAGUGGGCUCAGGGCUCCCCAGGUUUAACAACUUCAUGGAACAUGAAGCAUGUUAUAAUAUUUUAAGUGACUAUAACCUUGUUACUUUAUUGUCUUCUGACAAAGUCAGCUUAGACAUUUGGCCCUUCUCUUCUUCCCUACUUCCAGUUCAAAACGCUUCUUUCCUUUAACAGCAAGUCUCAUAGGGCUGCAAAGAACUUCAACAGACUCGGCAAUAAGACCAAUAUCCUUAGCACCUCUUUCCUCUGGACUUGCAAGUAUUGUAAUUCCCAAAGCACUGAAUUCUUGUGUAAUAAUAUAAAUAGUAUGUAUGUUGUUAUAGUCUCCAAAAUAAUGAUAAAUUGUUUGGUUUUGUGAACUCAGCUUGCUUUUGACUUACUAUUGCCCUAACUAAUAAAAAAAAGGUAGUAAAUCAUGUAAGUAUUGGUAAGGGCUUUGAAAGUGUUUAUACUGCUAGUUUAAACAAAUGUAUUAAACUGUAUCCAUCCUCUUCUGCCUUAGUAACAGUCACAGGACAAAUUUGACCAAAUCUGGAUCUCACAAUUGAGACUCUUGCUGAAUCUCAGACCCACCAUGAAUAGACAUUUUCAGUGUAAGUAUGAGUGAAUGGUGGUAUCAGGAUAGAUUUCAGCUUGACUGACCUGAUUUCUACCCAGUAAUAAGUAAUUUUAAAAUUAUUUCAUUUCUAAAGGUAAGCAACAUACAGGCAAAGGCCUGAUUUAAAAGAACUUGGUCUUCGCUCUUCCUCCUUGAGUCUAUUAAUUUUGAACAUCUCUUCACCUAUACUAUGCCAUAAUAGGAUGUUCAAACUUAACAAAGGUUUUCCUUUUCUCAGCUAGAACAUAUUUAUUUAGACAAACGUGUGGGUUAAACUUACCUUUAACUGCCUUCUUUUUUGUCUUUCAACAAUACUGAAUUGAAAAGGAGUUUUACGUCAUCUGAGAGAAUUCCAAUGACAGUCACACUGUUAUUUUUUGCAAGUGGCAGUAGGAUGCAAACAUAUAUAUUAUCAGGGGCAUGGAGACAUCUUUGAUCUGUAAAUUCUCUCCGUGUUCCUGAAAGUUAAUGGCUGCUUUGAACUAACUUCUCAUUUAGAAGGAAAUUCUAAAAGGCAGGGAAAUGUGUAUAAUUAAGCAAUGGAUGGAAGGGGAGGGAGAAAGAAAGAACACAGACAAUUUGCACACUGAAUAUGUUCUCUGAGUGGUCCAUCUCCUACUGAUCACUUCCUUCACAGCACUCUAAGGAGAGAGCAUAUUCAAAAUUAGAAGGAAAUUAUAGAGUAGAUGCCAAAGUCAUUCAUAAAAAGAACAUAUUUCAGAAUUCUAUAAACAUCUCAGUAUAACGUCCAUAUUGUGCUUGGCAGCCUUAAAAGUAAUUUUGUACUUCUAGUCCUAAUUAAUUCUCACGAAGGAUGUGAUGUCAAUGACAAGUUUAUUAUCAUCUUUAUUUCACAGAAAACAAAAUGAAGAUACAGGGGGAAUUGAGAUUCCCUUAAGCUGGUAAAGCAGCAAAGAUGCAAGAACUCAAAUCUGAUUUUUUCUCUCAGACUGAUCAUUAACUCAUAUAAUAGACCCCCAAUAUUCUCCUCAUCUACAGGAGGUCAUCUGCCUCUCCACCCAUAUCUGCCCUAGCAUCUAAGAGGUACAGCAUCACUUUCUGCUUUCUCCUAACCAAAGGCCUUAAGCAUGAAUAUUCCCAAAGGUGAGAAAUCUCACUACUUUUGUUUUCUCUUUCUUUUAAAGUGUACAUCCACCCAUCACUAUGUUUUAUGUAUACUGGGUGAAUACAGUUACCUAUGGAGGCCAGAAGAGAACACUGGAUACUCUGGAACUGAAGUUACAGUUUGUUUGGAGUUUCUGUGUGGGUGCUGAGUACCAAACCCAGAUCCUCUGCAAGAGCACUAAAUGUGUCCCAUCUCUGAAGUCCCUACUUUUUUUUUUUCUUUCCUUAAUCAGGGCUGGCAAAAUAGCUCAGUCAGUAAAGGUACUUGUUACACAAGUCUGAAGACCUGAAUUAAAUUCUUGAUUGCCACUUGAGUGAAAGAGAGAACCAAUUUACACAUAUUUCUCUGACUGCCACGUGAGCCAUCUGGUGCAUCUGCAUGCGUACACACACACAAACAUGUACAAACACACACACACACACAGAUAGAACUUAUACAUUGUGUACUUCACACCGGUGUAGCAUACAGUAUUAUGUUGAUGACAUAGUCACAACAUCAAGAGUCCAUUACUUGCCGAACUUUGGGUCACCUCUGCUAAAACAAACACUAGCAAACACUACACACCUCCCCAGAUCCUGUCAAUCACUAAUCUGAUUUCCAACUCUAUAGAUUUAAUUACUAGGAUAUUUAUACUUGGCCUUUCAUAUCUGACUUCUUUCCCUUAGUGCACUUCCAAGAUUCCUCCAUAUUGCAGCAUAUGUUAAUAUUUAUCCUUUUUAUGGAUGAAAAAAACCCUCCCAUUGAACCAACACAAUACCAUAAGGGUACUUUAUACUCUUGGUACAGACCACUCAGCAUAAGGGGCUUAAAAUCCUUUCUACUCAUUUGGCUUGCAUUUUCUUUUCUCUAUUUGACAAAGUCUACUUAAUACUUAUUGUUUCCCUCUCUUGCAUGAAUCUUCAUUAUCAUAAGAACCCAUUGCCAAAUCCAGGCCAUGAAAAUGUAUCGUGUUUCCUCCUAAUUGUUUUGUAUUUUUAGUUCUGAUGCUUGGGUCUUUGGUUCACUUAGAGUUUUUAAUUUCAGAUGUGUGUGAAUGUGUGUGUGUGUGUGCAGGUUGCACACCCACGUGGGAGACAUCGUGGUGGCUUCUCCAAUCCCGUCCCCACUUUACUUUGUGAGACAAGGUCUCCAUUGACUCUGCUGUUCACCUCGUGGCUAGUCUGGGUUGCCUAGAAGCACCAAGAACCGACAGCGCCCAUCCCUAGACCCCACACUGGUGUUACAGACAUGUGCCCCCACAUUUGACUUCUGUGUGGUCCUUCUGCAAAUGCAGAAAACACUUUAUGUACUGAGCCAUCCCCCAAGUAGUGAGUUAACUCUUGCUGAUGGUGUGAGAUGACCAAUCUAGUUCUGCUUGUCUUCAUGUGAAUGUCUCGCUGUCUCAACCAUAGUGAAAGACAAUUUUUCCUUAGUGCUUUGGAGUACAUCUGCCUCAAAUGUUUAUGGGAACUAGAGUGCUGGUAACAUUAGGAAGCUUCCCUCUCUCGGAGGUAAACUAGCCUCACCUCAAAUAUGCUUCGUAGUCUCACAUCUGGACUGAAGAAAGUCCUAAUUCCACUUAAGAGCGUGCCCCCAUGAAGUUUCUAUGGAACUGAUGAGGGAUUUCCCUCUGUAUGCUGUGAUUACCAUUGAUUAAUAAAGACAUUGCUUUGGCCCUAUAGCAAGGCAGAACUGAAGCUUUGCUGGUAGGCCAUGACCUCGUGGUGGUGCACAGAUUCAUGGAGAUGGGUUAAAUUAAUAUGUAAGAGUUAGCCAAUAAGAAGCUAGAGCUAAUAGGCCAAGCAGUGUUUUAAACAAUAUAGUUUCUGUGUGAUUAUUUUGGGGCUGAGCAGCUGGGAACAAACAACCAGCUCUUUCUCCAACAACAAAUUGGUGCCAAUGUUACCAACUAAAAUCCACUUAAAACCUGAGAAAACUUAAAAAGGAAUCAUAGACACAAAAGAACAGAGUUAAGCAUGGUUUGGUAGCGACAUUUUCUUGGGUGGGCUCUGUUUGCUAGAAGCAAGCAGAGGCAUGGCUCCUUUAAAAUAUGUUUUCUGGAUUCAGCGAUAGCAGGAAGAAAGCCAUUUGGCUUUGAAAUGAUGGCUUUCUGGGCCUUGCUGCCAGCGUGACUUCUGACUCUUUCAGGAGGCUGAGCAUUUAAAUAGGGUUUGUAAACAGCCUGUUACAAACUGUUUAAUGGUUCAUCAUAGACCCCCUGCAUACUCAGAACUGGGGCGGUGUGCAUGUCUCAGAGGCAGUGAACAAACCUCCUCCACCACGUUGGACGGGACAGAGUAAGAAAGCAGUGCUGUACUUUCCUUAGCAAUGGUGCUGCUUAAGUUCAUAGGAAGGGCUUAGCAUUUUAAGAAGCAGUCCUGGGCAGAAAAUAAUUAUAAAUAUACAAUAGAGACAAAUUCAGACAUAAAAGACCUCUAAAUGAGUCACAGUAUUGGAUAAAUGUAUGUAUGCAUAAGAGAGAAAAGAAAAAAUAUAUAGAUCGUUAUAAAAAGAAGUAAGUGGUUUAGAAAAAAAAAGGUAAAGUCUUUGAAGAGACAGAAUACAGCCAGUCAUAGAUCAAAGGAGUAAAGAUAAUAAAUAGUAAGAAGUAAUAGAGUAAAAACAAAUAAGCCACAUAAAGAUGGAAAAUACACAGAGAGUCUGGAUUAUGUAUAGUAUUGAUGCUUCUUUGAAUUUUUUGACUAUAAAGAACCUAAGUACAGAGAGACAUUUCAUUGUACAGGCUGCUAAGCUAAACCAACAUAAAGGUAUCUUGACUUUAAAAUUUGAGUCUAAGGAUAUGUUGCUUUGGAAAAGAGGUUCUUCUUUUGUUUCCACAGAGGAUUCAUUCCAGGCUAAUGUGUAUUGAUGCACCAAAACCCCCUGAAAAAUCACUGUGAACACCCCCCAAAAAACAACUUUGCCCAUCUUCUGACUGAGAUGAACCUAACACAUAGGAUACACCAUAAAAGACCUGAUUAGCAGUGCCCACAGUCAGCAGGAAGCAGUUUGGAGAGAACUAUGUCCAUUUUCUCAAAUACUGUUUGCAAAUAUUUCUUUACAUUUAAAGGGGAUAUGCUAUAGAGAUUUGCAUUGAUAUGUAUCUUGGUUUAUUGAUACAAAUUUAAGGUCAAUUGUGUUAUAUGUAUAUUUCUGCUCUUGAUUGUGUUUGUACAGCUCACUUAAAAAUGUAAUGUAUAAUUAAGAAAUAUAGAUUAAUAGAUAAUCAUCUAUAAUAGUCAAGCUUGUAAUCUUGUUAGUUAGAAUUUCUGGAUAUAUAGAGAUAUAUUUCAGAUAGAUAGGUAUUCUUCAAAUUUUUCAGAGACCUUCAGAAUAUGGAAUUUAAAAUGUUUUAAGAUGCUAGGACUUUUCAUGACAAUGAGACACAUCUACUCCUGGCAGCACCAACUACUUCAAGAGGAAGAUGAACACCGAAGAGGCUCCUUAUGGAGUUGGUUAGCCAUUUGGGUAAGAAACUGCUCUUGACUGAACUGCUUGAUAUUAUGCUGUGUGAACUGGAGAUGCAGGAUCCACAGAGAAAUGGAUCUCUGAACUUGCCUUAAGGUGAGAUGAUCCGUCGGGGUUCCUGCUUCAUGAAAGUGUCUGUCAGGCAUUCUGCAGGACACAGAAGAAAGUGACUGACAAGCUGCCAAAAUAAGCAAAACUGUCUUUGUAAUUUCCUGCUUCAUGGAAAAGUCUGCUGGAUACUAUGGGCCUUUAGCCUAAAGACGAUGCCCCAAAUGGUACAGAAGAACUUUGGGUGACUGUCCCAGCAGUGAUAUGUCUCUGUCAAUUUUAAAGUUUUGGAAGUUGCUUACAAUGCACUUCCUGCUUACUUAGGUAAUAUUGUAUCCUUCUGGUGUCUUUGUUGGAGUUGAAGAAUAGAUGUUAUUAUUAGAGUUUUCCUUAGUUAUAAUAAAAGAUAAAGUAGAUAUAAAUAUUGUAACUGUAAUUCUUGCUUGAUACCUGUUUUGUUACAUGUAAUUUUACUAUGUUAAAGUUAAAACCUUCCUUUUUAUUUAAACAGAAAAGGGAGGUGAUGUGGGAUUUCCCUCUGUAUGCUGUAAUUACCAUUGAAUAAUAAAGAAACUGCUUUGGACCUUUAGCAAGGCAGAACUUAGCUAGGCAGGGAAAAAGAAGGGUGGAGUCAGGGAGGAGUUAUGGAGCCCUACCGGAGACAGACACACUGAUGCACAGAUUAACAGAAAUGGGUUAAAUUAAUAUAUAAAAGUUAGAAAAUAAGAAGCUAUAGCUAAUGGUCCAAGCAGUGUUUUAAAUAAUA